GAUGAAGAACGUAGCGAAAUGCGAUAAGUAAUGUGAAUUGCAGAAUUCAGUGAAUCAUCGAAUCUUUGAACGCACCUUGCGCCCUUUGGCCAUUCCGAAGGGCAUGCCUGUUUGAGUAUCAUGAACACCUCAACUCUUUAUGGUUUUCCAUGAUGAGCAUGGACUCUGGGGGUUUUGCUGGCUCACAGUCGGCUCCUCUAAAAUGAAUCAGCUUACCAGUGUUUGGUGGGUAUCAUGGGUGUGAUAACUAUCUACGCUUGUGGUUUUUCCACCAGGUAACCUUCAGCAGCGGAGGUUCGCUGGAGCUCAUAGAUGUCUCUCCUCAGUGAGGACAGCCCUUUGAAUGUUUGAUCUCAAAUCAGGUAGGACUACCCGCUGAACUUAAGCAUAUCAAUAAGCGGAGGA
rnacentral:misc_RNA from 1 species